rnacentral:rRNA from 1 species
UACGUAGGGGGCAAGCGUUGUCCGGAUUUAUUGGGCGUAAAGAGCGUGUAGGCGGCCUUACAGGUCAGCUGUGAAAACUCGAGGCUCAACCUCGAGACGUCGGUUGAAACCGUAAGGCUAGAGUCCGGAAGAGGAGAGUGGAAUUCCCGGUGUAGCGGUGAAAUGCGCAGAUAUCGGGAAGAACACCCGUGGCGAAAGCGCUUUGCUAGGCCGCAACUGACACUGAGGGACGAAAGCUAGGGGAGCGAAUGGG